UGCCUCCUCUCCCAGUUCAGCCCAGUGCUCCAUACUGGGUGCUGGUGCAGGUGGAGGAGGCAGAGCAGAGCAGUGGAGAAACCCAUUCCACCCUCAGCUGCAGCGUAGCUCCGCGGUGGAAGAGAUCCCUGCGACAGUC
rnacentral:snoRNA from 1 species